rnacentral:lncRNA from 1 species
UUGAGACAAGAGUCUCGCUCUGUCACCCAAGAUGGAGUACAAUGGCAAGAUCUCAGCUUACUGCAACAGAGUGAGACUCCAUCUAAAAAAUAAAAAUAAAAAAUAAAUUUCUAUUCAGGAGGACUGGUUAGAGCAUAAUUUUUAUCAAAUAAAUAAGGAAAUCAAGACGGGAGAAAGGAAUCAUGGAAAGGAGAUAAAAGUACCUGUCCCCCAAAUCUUUUGUUUUAAUGACCUGAGCUAAACUGCUAUUUUUUUCAAUUAAUUAUUUAUUAAGAGGAGUUAAAGACUUAUUCUUAAAGUUAUCUUGAUUCCAAAAGCAUUUCACAAACUGGCAGAGAUAAUCUAAUACAAUUAGGACAGAACACAAGAAAAUAGGUGUCAC